GGGGUCGUAGUCGAGCAUGGUCUAAGAUGCAUGGCUCGGGCCCAUGUGAACGUGGGUUCAAAUCCCACCGACCCCA
rnacentral:tRNA from 1 species